ensembl:lncRNA SUNO1 S-phase upregulated non-coding 1
ACACCUGAGCUCGCCCUGCGGUCCCGGGCAGUGACUCCGCCGAGCCUCGGUGGGGGAGGGGACAGGGGAGAGAAUAGGGAAGAGGGGCGCGAUCUGUGUCUGGGACCCGUUGCCAAGAAACCCGACCCUCGGGCUCUGGCCAUCAGCAGCCGCGGUGCAGCUGCCUCCCCCUGCCUCCAGGUCGCCCAGCAGAGCUUUCUAGAGCUGGGUGCUCAGAAGACCCCAGGCGGAGGCAAGAACCUUGGGCCGCGGCUCUGUGGGAAAAGCCCUCGGGGAAGCCAGACGGCGCGCUCCAGCUCCCCAUCGCGGGCGUGGGCCCCGGGGUGGAGGCAGUUGGGUCGCGGCCCUGCCACCCCCAUGCUGCACGGCCUCGGCCCAGUGCCACCACCUCUGUGGGCCGCCGUUUCAGCCUCCAGAUGGGGUGGCGGCGGGCCCCAGCCCUUGCCCCAAGUCUCUAAGGAAGGGUCUGGCCUGGCCCGCCCAGAUCCGAGCUGCUGCGUACGCGCGGGGCUGGGAGCUGCAAAAACGCCCGGGGCCCAGGGUGAGCGGCUGGGCCCUCGGGGGACCCGGCGCGCGCGGGGGCUCCAGCUCCGCCCUGUUGGGGGCCAGAGCAGGAGGGAGGCCGCCCCAGCUUGUUCUGGGCCGCAGCCCUGCCGACCGCACGGGACAGGCGCCGCGUCCUCUCUGGGCCUCCAAGACGCAGACUAGAAGCCCAUAGCUGCUGGGAAGAUGGGCACCCCAGGUCUCCGCGCACGGCCUUCCCAGGGCCACGGUGAAACAUGGAUGCGACACUCAGGCACCUUCCCGGCCCCCGGCGAAAACGCAAAGCCUGAGCCCAUGAUGGGCUCGGAAGCUCUGCGGGAUUGAGUCAUCAGAGGAAUGCUGAUCUAGAAGUACAAUGGCUGGAAGACACCCGCAGAAACCGCGGGCACUGGAGAGCAAGUGCAGCUUUAAUCUCCAGGCGUGAUUUAGAUGGAAAGCAGCCUGAAGACCAGUUAAGAGAACCGCGAGCAGAGCGCGCUGGACUAGCACCAACAGACGUGAGUUCGAGACCGUCCUGCCCCUUAAUCCUGUGUGACCUUGGUCCAUUUUUUAAGUCUGUGAGCCUCGCAGUGUUCUCAUUCCUGAAAAGAGCCUGCCCCAUCUCCGGACUGCAGUGAGAACAAAAGGAGACUAUGAACAUGACUUUUUGCCACUUUUGAAGCCCCACACUGAGGAAAGAUUUUCCUAGCACUUGGGAGAUUUUCUUUAGCACCAGCUGCCAAGAAUGCUGGGAAGGAGACAGCCCCAUCCCAGAAGGAAGACACCUUAAAUCAGAACUUUAUUUUUCCUCCUAUGAAAAUACAAUCUAAUACUGGAGAAGUGUAAAAAUUAAGGAGUCAUUAGAAGCCAUUUGUUGUUGUUGUUGUUGUUAUUGUUUUGAGACAGGAUCUUACUCUGUCACCCAGGCUGGAGUGAGGUGGCACGAUCAUUGCUCACUGUAGCCUCCAACUCCUGGACUCAAACAAUCCUCCCUUCUCGGCCUCCCAAGUACCUGGGACGAGAGGUGCACUGGGCGUGGUAGCACACAUCUGUAGUCCCAGGUACUUUAGAAGCCGAGAAGGGAGGUCUCACUAUUUUGCCCAGGCUGGUCUCCAACUCCUGGGAUCAAGCCAUCCUCUUGCCUCGGCUUCCCAAAGUGUUGGGAUUAUAGGUGUGAGCCACCACUCCCAGCCUGUUGUUUUAACUUUCUAUCAAAGAAAUGGAUGGAGGGUGGACAGGGAUGCUGGGUGCUUUAGAUUAGACUUGAAAGAGUUAACAGCAUAGGUUACAGAAUCACACAUACCCGAAUUGGAAUCUCAUCUUGACCCUUUACUACCACUGUUUCGUUAUGUUAGUGACUUAACCUCUCUGUGCUUCAGUUUCUUCAUCUGUAAAAUGAAGAAAAUGGCACCAACCUGUGGGGUUGUUGAGAAGAUGAAAUGCAAUAGUGAAUGUAAAAGUGCCUGACAGGACCCAGCACGUGGUAAUACAUAAUAAAUGCUAGCUAGUUUUGGUUUCCA